rnacentral:lncRNA from 1 species
GUAGGAGUCGCCGUGCGAGCCAAGGCGCAGCUGCAGCCGGGAAGAAGGCCCCCCCGCCCGCUCCCAGCCGGGGCCCCGGUACCUGUUGCGCGGGCAGCGCCCCGCCGGGCGCGGCCAUGGCAGAGCGAGCGGGACGGGGCGCACAGAGCAAGCCGCUCCUCCCGGACUGCCCGCCGCCCGGCUUUAACUCCGCACGUGACUGCGGGCGGCGGAAGCCGCGGGCCGCCGGACAGACUGGGCCGAGCUGGGGCGGAGCGGGGCCCGGGCGGCGCCGGUGCUGCGGGCUGCUCCGCCGCGCGCAUGCAGGGCUUUGCGGAGGCGGCCGGGCAGCACGACACGGCGCCCGCUUGUCUUCCCUCCCAACACUGGUGCUGCGGGUAAAUCCGAGAUCUUUUACUAGACCCGCUCAAAAGUCUUCCUUGCCAGCUUUGAGCCUGACUGGGAUGGAAGCCGACAAUUGAAUGAACAUAAACAGACUCCUGCUCCCUUUUUAUCUAAAUAUAUUUGAAGAAAUGAGGUUUUAUACCAUACAAAUAUCUUCACACACUUCAUCACUUGAAAAAGAUGGCAUCUGUGGUAUAAUAGUCUUGCUUGCCCAAACUGACAUCUCCAAAAAUGAUCUUCAUGUGUAUUAAAAUAACCUCUGUAUGGCUACGAUGAGUUAAAUUGGUACUAUGACUGCAUAUCUGUUGCCUUGUAUUUUUGAGGAUUGUUCUAAGGACAGUUUGACACCCCUGUUAUCAGAGACGACCCGAGCAGGGUGAGGGGCCUGGGGCAAAUCAGCCUGUGCGGGACCUCACCCCAGGACAUGAGGAACUUGGCAGCAGAUUCAGUGGUGAGGGGCCGGGGGGGGUGCCGAGCGGCCAGACAUGAAGCUGGCAGCAGCAUGGAAUUGCCGUGACCACUCUGCCUGGCUCCACAGGGCCCCCCAAAACACCGGGCCUGGGGCAGUUGCUCUGAUUUGCCCCCCACAGACGGUCCUGUUCUAUUUCUUUACUUUUCUAUUUGCUUGUCCCUGUGUCUUUUGACUCUAAACCUGCUUCUGUACAGUAUAUGACUCUUGCCACCAAAACUGUCAAUAUUUAAAGCUAAUAAAAUGUAAUUUAGGUUGCUUGUUAAGUACA